rnacentral:rRNA from 1 species
GGUUGACCUCGGAUCAGGUAGGGAUACCCGCUGAACUUAAGCAUAUCAAUAAGCGGAGGAAAAGAAACCAACCGGGAUUGCCUCAGUAACGGCGAGUGAAGCGGCAAGAGCUCAAAUUUGAAAUCUGGCCCCCUCGGGGUCCGAGUUGUAAUUUGCAGAGGAUGCUUCGGGUGCGGCCCCCGUCUAAGUGCCCUGGAACGGGCCGUCAUAGAGGGUGAGAAUCCCGUCUGGGACGGGGUGUCCGCGUCCGUGUGAAGCUCCUUCGACGAGUCGAGUUGUUUGGGAAUGCAGCUCUAAAUGGGUGGUAAAUUUCAUCUAAAGCUAAAUACUGGCCGGAGACCGAUAGCGCACAAGUAGAGUGAUCGAAAGAUGAAAAGCACUUUGAAAAGAGAGUUAAAAAGCACGUGAAAUUGUUGAAAGGGAAGCGCUUGCGACCAGACUCGCCCGCGGGGUUCAGCCGGCAUUCGUGCCGGUGUACUUCCCCGUGGGCGGGCCAGCGUCGGUUUGGGCGGCCGGUCAAAGGCCCCCGGAAUGUAGUGCCCUUCGGGGCACCUUAUAGCCGGGGGUGCAAUGCGGCCAGCCUGGACCGAGGAACGCGCUUCGGCACGGACGCUGGCAUAAUGGUUGUAAACGACC